rnacentral:rRNA from 1 species
GUCGAAGCCGGCCCGACAGGCGCGGGAAGACGGGGGGGUGUAGCGUGGGUGUGAAUGAAGGGGCGUAAAGCGCACGUAGGCGGACCAGGAAGACAGAGGGGAAAGCCCAGGGCGCAACCGUGGAACGGCCGUUGAAACUCCUGGUCGUGAGUUCGAGAGAGGUGAGUGGAAUUCCGAGUGUAGAGGUGAAAUUCGUAGAUAUUCGGAGGAACACCAGUGGCGAAGGCGGCUCACUGGCUCGAUACUGACGCUGAGGUGCGAAAGCGUGGGGAGCAAACAGUAUUAGAUACCCUAGUAGUC